rnacentral:rRNA from 1 species
GACGAACGCUGGCGGCGUGCUUAACACAUGCAAGUCGAACGGAAAGGCCCUGCUUUUGUGGGGUGCGCGAGUGGCGAACGGGUGAGUAACACGUGAGUAACCUGCCCUUGACUUUGGGAUAACUUCAGGAAACUGGGGCUAAUACCGGAUAGGAGCUCCUGCUGCAUGGUGGGGGUUGGAAAGUUUCGGCGGUUGGGGAUGGACUCGCGGCUUAUCAGCUUGUUGGUGGGGUAGUGGCUUACCAAGGCUUUGACGGGUAGCCGGCCUGAGGGGGUGACCGGCCACCUUGGGACUGAGAUACGGCCCAGACUCCUACGGGAGGCAGCAGUGGGGAAUAUUGCACAAUGGGCGGAAGCCUGAUGCAGCAACGCCGCGUGCGGGAUGACGGCCUUCGGGUUGUAAACCGCUUUCGCCUGUGACGAAGCGUGAGUGACGGUAAUGGGUAAAGAAGCACCGGCUAACUACGUG